rnacentral:rRNA from 1 species
AAUUUUGGACAAUGGGGGAAACCCUGACCUAGCCAGCCCGCGUGUAUGCUGAAUGCCUACUGGUUGUAAAGAACUUCUGGCAGAGAAGAAAAGGCAUCUCCUAAUACGAGAUACUGCUGACGGUAGCUGCAGAAUAAGCACCGGAUCACUACGUGCCAGCCGCCGCGGUAAUACGUAGGGUGCAAGCGUUAAUCGGAAUUCCUGGGCGUAAAGCGUGUGUAGGCGGUUCGGAAAGAAAGAUGUGACAUCCCAGGGCUCAACCUUGGAACUGCAUUUUUAACUGCCGAGCUAGAGUAUGUCAGAGGGGGGUAGAAUUCCACGUGUAGCAGUGAAAUGCGUAGAUAUGUGGAGGAAUACCGAUGGCGAAGGCAGCCCCCUGGGAUAAUACUGACGCUCAGACACGAAAGCGUGGGGAGCAAACAG